AGACAUCGAACCGUGCGGUUUAGGAUCGUUCCUGGUGCUUUCAUCGUGGUUUUCCUCGCUGUGCCAGCUUCCCUUGCAUCCUGCUGCUUUUGUGGUGGUGGUGGUAGUGAUGGUGGUGAUGGUCACGGUGUAAGGUUUGAAGCAACACGUUAGUGGUUAGUGAAUGGUAGAGUGUUUGUUGAAACGAAAAGUGAAAAUUUACGAAGUGCUUAAAGGUAAAUGUGAAUCAGCGAGUGAGUGUUUUUACUGCGCCUGGUAUUUGAACGUCGAGGUUCCAACGUUAUAUCGAAGCGUUCCGGGAAGAGUUACACGGUCACCACACAACGACGAUUGUCUGUGCGAAGUCUGUGCACACUUAGUUAAUUAAAUUCCAUCACUCUUGCGUGCGACGUGUCGGUGUGGUAGUGUCCAGGCAGUGGAACAGCGUCCUAUAGAGGUCCAUCAACGGAGCGCCUCGUCACUAGAUCACAAAUACGGCACACGGCUAGCAUUAAUGUAAUUCCCGUUGGUCCGGGACCUUUCGUCCGGUGAAUUUGAAACAAACAACAACAACAACAAAAAACCAACCAGACGCACGACGAAAGAUCGGAAAAAUUUCAUACAUCCCAAAAUAAAAGCCUCCCUAAGCCUCUCUGGCCACGCUUCGCUAUCAACGAUCCCGAACAAUAAAUUUGAAAUUUCCCCGUAAGGAAAGGGGCCAGCGGACGUGUUCCGUGGACAACCUUUUUCAUCUUUCUGUCGUUUCGAAACUACCAAAGGCCGGCCUACGCCUGCCACCCAACCCAACCCAACCCAGCACCGAAGUUCGGAGCCACCUAAAAGGAUAAUGAGCCUCUAGUAGAAUGAUUCAAAAUCGACAUUAAUCAUACCUUCGCUGGCGAGGAAAGAGUCGUACCGUAACGUGGAAUACGCUCGCACUAGCUCGAAAUCCUUCGUAAAAGGGUUCAAUCCCAACGGGGCUCUGGAUCGUUGAGCCCGUUUGGACCGGAAUUGAAGCAUUCAGAGUCCAGUCCAGUGUUGGCGCUGGACCGUUAGAUCCGUGAGAUACACCUUUGAGCUCGAAAGGAAGGGUAGCGCCCCCCCCCGAAGGUUGCCGCAGAAAUUAAAGAAAAAUAAAAUUACCCUCACCCAGCACCAGCACACCGGGCGCGUGUUGAGCUGCGGACAUAAGCGGUAACGAAUAGCCACGGGCGAGGAACUCAUCAACUC